rnacentral:rRNA from 1 species
UACGAAGGGGGCUAGCGUUGCUCGGAAUUACUGGGCGUAAAGCGCACGUAGGCGGCUUCUUAAGUCGGUGGUGAAAUCCUGGAGCUCAACUCCAGAACUGCCUUCGAUACUGUAGGGCUUGAGACCGGAAGAGGUUAGUGGAACUGCGAGUGUAGAGGUGAAAUUCGUAGAUAUUCGCAAGAACACCAGUGGCGAAGGCGGCUAACUGGUCCGGUUCUGACGCUGAGGCGCGAAAGCGUGGGGAGCAAACAGG